AUGCCAAGGACAACCAUCAUUUUCUCCACCAUCCUCUUCAUGCUCCUUUCUGUAGUGAUAACUGCUCAAUCCAGCAGCUCUGACAGUGGGAAGCCCAAAGCGACCAAGCUCAUGGUGGAAGCAUGCAAGAACGCCUCGAUCAACUACCCCUACGGCGAUCCCUUCUCGCAAGAAUUCUGUUUGUCUACCCUCCAGUCGGACAAUCAGAGUGCCGAGGCUAAGGACCUCCGAGCCCUAGUGCUCGUCGCUAUCGACAUCCUUAAGAGCCAUGUCACUGCCGCUGGCGGUAAGAUCAAGAAAAUGCUGCAAGAUGCCAAGAAGGGAACGGUGAUGAUGCCCGUUCUUAGUUUUUGUGAGGUGGACUAUGACCAUGUGGUGAGACGCCUCAACGUUUGCCAAGGCCUGAUCAGGGACUACCAAGGAGACAAGAGUGGGCGGCAGCCAUUGCGUCUGACUCACUGUGUGGAAAUGUCAUUCACCCCGCUCAACAAGUGCUCGAUCGGGCUUGAAGAUAUGCCAGGGGUGGAGGUCCUCUCCAAAGAAAAUGUUGAGCUGCAGUUUAUGGUGCAAGUCAACACGGGCCUGCUAGCAUCAUAUGACGUCCAUGAUUAA
rnacentral:rRNA from 1 species